UUCUCUGCCAAAACAAAGUAUACCCAAAAGGAAGAGGUCCGGGAAUGGUAUGACAGAAAAUUCCAUGCAUAAGAAGGUAAAAAUCUCGUCAAGAGUACGGCUCUAGUUAUUAGAUUCUCAGUUAUAUAGAAAACUCUCCUUAAUAGUUGACACUAUGGAUGUUGAAUCCGUCAUAUGAUAUGUUUGCAAUCCGGUUGUGAAUGGCUUUCCUCAAACUCCUGGACUUGGGAAGGGAGAUCCUUGUGAGUUGAUGAUAGACUCUGAUGUCGUAGCAACGGGAAUUGUCUUCUAUUCUGACCCUGAGGAGGUGGUGAAAGAUCAUAAUGAAUAUUUGAGCAAAUAUAAUUACCGUGUCAUGGUUAAAUAUGCUAAGAAACCUGCAGUCCUCGUCCCGGUUCCGGUCCCUAAAAGUGAUAUAGAGAUAGACAAAGAUGUUGUAGGGACGUUCGUGCAAUGGCCUAAGAAACUCGUACUCAUAUCAAAUAAGGGUGAAGACACGACAUCUUCAUCAGAUUUGCUAGAGAUUUUUUUGAAUGAUGCAACUAAUCGUCUAUCCGAAUUGGACGGAGAUAUUUUGAUGACUAUUGGUUGUGGUAUUUUCAACUCGGUAACUAACAACACGUUGAACGUAUUGGUGGAUGAUAUCACACGUGUCUGCAAACGAGGACGAUAUGCAUCUGUUACCAAUGUUGUUAUAUACAUCAGGAUUUUGCACGAGAAACUUCUUUCAUCAAAAAACCAAAGCAAAUUUGCUUUUGUGGAUCCAGCAGCGCUACAAUCGAAGGCAUCAAAUUCGACAAAAUUCACUCUGGAUCUCAUCACCUGGCUUAAUAAAGCAAAUGCAGAGUUCUGUUUCCUUAUCUAAGGAAACCACAUCAUUGGGUCUUAUUGGUUAUUAACUUUAGUGCUCGGAAGGCAUGGUGGAUAGAUCCAGCUGGUGGCAAAACCGCAAACUCUGAAAUUCAUAAAAAUAUCAAGAGGGCUUUGAAAGGUUGUCUACAAGUAGGAAAAGGAAACUCAGGCUUUUCAUUUUAUGAAGAGAAGUGUAUCCCUCGACAAGAGAACCACUGUCAAUAUGGAUUUUAUAUUAUGAGGUACAUGAAAGAACUUGUGGAAAGACAAAGCUCUGAGCCUGCAUUCAUGUAUUUUCCAAAGAAAAAGUACGAUGAGGGAGAUAUGAUGGAAGUCCGCAAAGAAUGGAUCGAUCACAUCAAACCAUAUAUAAAAGAGAACGAUGCAGCGGCUGAUAUGGAUUAAGAGAACGAUGGAGUGACAGAUAUGGAUUGCUUAGCGGAAUAAUUUAAAGCUUGUUGUUUCUUUUCUUUUUUUCCUAAACGAUUGUGACUACUUAUUAGUUUUUUCUUUUGAUGCGGAUAUUGAUAUUCA